rnacentral:lncRNA from 1 species
GUUUACUUUUAUGAAUUGUUAUUUGGAUGGAGAGUUGCCUCAUUGGCACUCAUACCACAUCUUCUUAUAUCUAUUUGAAGAUCUUUUUCAAUAUAUAUUCAGAGAAUAAAAACGUUUUCAAUCGCUUCCCUUUAUUAUCAAUUUGGAAUCAAUAUUACAUAUUUAGUAAAAAUAUUCUGUCAUCGAAGAACGUUAAUUAAAAUGACUCCAAAUAACUCACCAAAGAAACUGUGCUAAAAAAUUAAUACGCCAGACGCGCUUUCGUCUGCAAAAGACUCAUCGGUGACUUUUGAAUAAAAAAUUGAAGAGCAUGGAGUACCCACAACUCUGAAAGGAAUCAUUUGUGUCUUAUACAGUUUUUUGCUUUUAAGAAUUGCCGGUUUUUUAAAGAACAGUCAAUAUCUAUAAACUACCGAACAACCCUACGUCUUUCACCAGAUUUAAUUUUCUAUGAGGAUUCUAAUGCGUUAAGACGUACAUAUUCGAUCGUACUUUGUACAUUCAACCAUGAUAAUUUGUUUUUUAAAUAAGAUACUUUUUACUUUAAUAAUCCGCCCAGUUUAUAUCAUAUUAUCAUGUAAAUCACUCUCCAACCUACUUAUCAAGUCUUAAAUAUAGAGUUUUCGUAUUUAUCGUAGGUGUGGAAUGAAACCACGUUCGCUUUUCAAAGUACAAGUUUUCGUUUUUUUGAGUACAUGUGAAUAAACUCAUCACAAAAGCCAGGCUUGGAAACUCAAAAGCUAGAUACGCGUUUCGUCUGCAUAAGACUCGUCAGUAAUGCUAGAACUGUGAAAGUAAAAAGGCCCAAAAAAAAGUACGAAGCUAGAGAUCAUUUAGGAUCCAAAAUUCAAAGAGAUGUUGCACCCAAGGUUAUCUAUGUAGAAAAUAAUGUACGAACAUCCGGGAGUAUUAAACGUUCGAAAAUUACUGUGUAAAAAUAUGUAGUAUUGAUAGUAAAUCUUCUUGAAAUACCAGUAUAUUACUAGAAGAAAUCAUAAUGGAAAACGUUAUUAUAAAAAUAAAAUUUUAAUUUUAUCAUCGGUAUGACAAACACGAUUGAUCCCAUAAGUUGAAUAGAUCUUCAAUUUUCUGUGAAGUAUUUUAUAGACUAUUGGUUUUUUUUUCGUCUAAAUCUGCUUGGAAACGCUGUUGUCUUUUUCUUCUACUUUUGAUUUUUUAUUGUUCUCUUAAUCUCCGUUGUCUCUUUUCAAAUUGGAUCUAGAAAAAUCAAAAUCGUCCAAGUCAUCUUUACCACAAUCUGAACAAUAACCCUAUGUUACAGCCAUGCGACAUAAUUCUGUCCUCAAAACAUUCAACGGUGGUUUGGUAAAAAUAAAUGAGCAUGUAGCUUUGAUCUCUCUUGAAUUAUAUCCUGCAAUUUCUCAUGACAAUCAAUCCUACCGUGCAUUUUAAAUGUCACGUAAUCGACAUUGUACACCACAAGCCUCUCGUAUAUCUAGUAAGCAUAAAAGAAACCCCUUAAGUACCCCUUUGCCACAUCCGUCAGUUUAGAUACAUAUAUUAAUGGCUGUAAUGUUGCAGAAAGGCCGGACGUCCUUCUGCUUGUAGGUAGUUUCCCUUAAGAUGUAUUUUCCUCAUUUGGUUUACUAUUAUUUUCCCGUCAAAAAGUUAAACAAUUUUACUCUUGUUAAACACUAUCAUAAUAUCUACGGUUAGGCUUAGACCAUUAAAUUUGAUGCCAACUUUAAUUAUGAGUUAUAAGUUUUGCUAAACUAUAG